UACGUAGGGGGCAAGCGUUGUCCGGAAUCAUUGGGCGUAAAGCGCGUGUAGGCGGCCCGAUUAGUCCGCUGUGAAAGUCCAGGGCUCAACCCUGGGAUGCCGGUGGAUACUGUCGGGCUCGAGUCCGGAAGAGGCGAGUGGAAUUCCUGGUGUAGCGGUGAAAUGCGCAGAUAUCAGGAGGAACACCAAUGGCGAAGGCAGCUCGCUGGGACGUGACUGACGCUGAGGCACGAAGGCCAGGGGAGCAAACGGG
rnacentral:rRNA from 1 species